GCAUACUGUCAACAAUAGAAUAACUACAGAAAGCUUUUUCAGAUCUCACGACUACAAGUAAUUACCUUUUUCAUGAAAGACUUCACUCAUACAAAUUAACCAGCAGGUUUAACCUGACUUGAAAUAAGGCAAAAACUUUUAGGAAUAUGACACCAAGCUGAGUUGGAUGGUUAACACAUUGGAGGGAUGCCAUAUGAGGGAUCUGAAGAAUCUAUGAGAAGUGGGC
rnacentral:lncRNA from 1 species